GCCGGACAAAUUAAACGCCUCUGUCAGAAAUGAUGGGGGCGUUUUUAUUUUGCGAGCAGCAUUCCUGAUUUUAAA
rnacentral:antisense_RNA from 1 species